GCGUCGGUGGUAUAGCGGUUAAGACGCUCGCCGACCAUGCAUAUGGUCCUGGGUUCGAUUCCCGGCCGGCGCA
rfam:Trichobilharzia regenti genome assembly, scaffold: TRE_scaffold0132539